rnacentral:rRNA from 1 species
ACUCGAGUGGCGAACGGGUGAGUAACACGUGGGUGAUCUGCCCUGCACUUCGGGAUAAGCUUGGGAAACUGGGUCUAAUACCGGAUAGGAGCCAUUUUUAGUGUGAUGGUUGGAAAGUUUUUCGGUGUAGGAUGAGCUCGCGGCCUACCAGCUUGUUGGUGGGGUAAUGGCCUACCAAGGCGGCGACGGGUAGCCGGCCUGAGAGGGUGGACGGCCACAUUGGGACUGAGAUACGGCCCAG